rnacentral:rRNA from 1 species
AGCGGAGGAAAAGAAACCAACCGGGAUUGCCUUAGUAACGGCGAGUGAAGCGGCAAAAGCUCAAAUUUGAAAUCUGGUACCUUCGGUGCCCGAGUUGUAAUUUGGAGAGGGCAACUUUGGGGCCGUUCCUUGUCUAUGUUCCUUGGAACAGGACGUCAUAGAGGGUGAGAAUCCCGUGUGGCGAGGAGUGCGGUUCUUUGUAAAGUGCCUUCGAAGAGUCGAGUUGUUUGGGAAUGCAGCUCUAAGUGGGUGGUAAAUUCCAUCUAAAGCUAAAUAUUGGCGAGAGACCGAUAGCGAACAAGUACAGUGAUGGAAAGAUGAAAAGAACUUUGAAAAGAGAGUGAAAAAGUACGUGAAAUUGUUGAAAGGGAAGGGCAUUUGAUCAGACAUGGUGUUUUGUGCCCUCUGCUCCUUGUGGGUAGGGGAAUCUCGCAUUUCACUGGGCCAGCAUCAGUUUUGGUGGCAGGAUAAAUCCAUAGGAAUGUAGCUUGCCUCGGUAAGUAUUAUAGCCUGUGGGAAUACUGCCAGCUGGG